rnacentral:tRNA from 1 species
UGGGGUGUAGCCAAGCGGUAAGGCAGCGGACUUUGACUCCGCCAUUCGCAGGUUCGAAUCCUCCCACCCCAGUGUAAA